rnacentral:tRNA from 1 species
CUGAGCGUAGCGCAGCCUGGUAGCGCACCUGCUUCGGGAGCAGGGGGUCGGAGGUUCGAAUCCUCUCACUCCGACCA